CUUGUACACACCGCCCGUCACACCAUGGGAGUGGGUUCUACCAGAAGUAGGUAGGCUAACAGCAAGGGGGCCGCUUACCACGGUAGGAUUCAUGACUGGGGUG
rnacentral:rRNA from 1 species